UACGGGAGGCAGCAGUGGGGAAUAUUGCACAAUGGGCGAAAGCCUGAUGCAGCUAUGCCGCGUGUAUGAAGAAGGCCUUAGGGUUGUAAAGUACUUUCAUCGGGGAGGAAAAACAAAACUAAUAAUUUUAUUUCUUGACGUUACCCGAAAAAGAAGCACCGGCUAACUCCGUGCCAGCAGCCGCGGUAAUACGGAGGGUGCUAGCGUUAAUCAGAAUUACUGGGCGUAAAGAGCACGUAGGUGGUUUUUUUAAGUCAGAUGUGAAAUCCCUGGGCUUAACCUAGGAACUGCAUUUUGAAACUGAAAUACUAGAGUAUCGUAGAGGGAGGUAGAAUUCUAGGUGUAGCGGUGAAAUGCGUAGAUAUCUGGAGGAAUACCUGUGGCGAAAGCGGCUUCCUAAACGAAUACUGACACUGAGGUGCGAAAGCGUGGGGAGCAAACAGGGAUUAGAUACC
rnacentral:rRNA from 1 species